GUGGGGAAUCUUGCGCAAUGGGCGAAAGCCUGACGCAGCCAUGCCGCGUGGAUGAUGAAGGUCUUAGGAUUGUAAAAUCCUUUCACCGGUGAAGAUAAUGACUGUAGCCGGAGAAGAAGCCCCGGCUAACUUCGUGCCAGCAGCCGCGGUAAUACGAAGGGGGCUAGCGUUGCUCGGAUUUACUGGGCGUAAAGGGCGCGUAGGCGGACAUUUAAGUCAGGGGUGAAAUCACGGGGCUCAACCUCGGAACUGCCUUUGAUACUGGGUGUCUUGAGUAUGAGAGAGGUGUUUGGAACUCCGAGUGUAGAGGUGAAAUUCGUAGAUAUUCGGAAGAACACCAGUGGCGAAGGCGACACACUGGCUCAUUACUGACGCUGAGGCGCGAAAGCGUGGGGAGCAAACAGGAUUAGAUACCCCUGUAGUCC
rnacentral:rRNA from 1 species